rnacentral:rRNA from 1 species
CUGGCUCAGGAUGAACGCUAGCUACAGGCUUAACACAUGCAAGUCGAGGGGCAUCAUGGAGUUUGCUUGCAAACUCUGAUGGCGACCGGCGCACGGGUGAGUAACGCGUAUCCAACCUUCCCUAUAGUAGAGGAUAGCCCGGCGAAAGUCGGAUUAAUACUCUAUGUUUUCCGUUGCAGACAUCUAAGAUGGAACAAAGGCUUGCCGCUAUAGGAUGGGGGAUGCGUCUGAUUAGGUAGUCGGCGGGGUAACGGCCCACCGAGCCAUCGAUCAGUAGGGGUUCUGAGAGGAAGGUCCCCCACAUUGGAACUGAGACACGGUCCAAACUCCUACGGGAGGCAGCAGUGAGGAAUAUUGGUCAAUGGGCGAGAGCCUGAACCAGCCAAGUAGCCGUGCAGGACGACGGCCCUAUGGGUUGUAAACUGCUUUUAUGCGGGGAUAAAGUUCACUACGUGUAGUGUUUUGUAGGUACCGCAUGAAUAAGGACCGGCUAAUUCCGUGCCAGCAGCCGC